rnacentral:rRNA from 1 species
UACGGAGGAUGCGAGCGUUAUCCGGCUUUAUUGGGAUUAAAGGGUGCGUAGGCGGAGUGUCAAGUCAGCGGUAAAAUUUCGGGGCUCAACCCCGGCGAGCCGUUGAAACUGGCGGGCUGGAGUUGGAGAGAAGUACGCGGAAUGCGCGGUGUAGCGGUGAAAUGCUUAGAUAUCGCGCAGAACCCCGAUUGCGAAGGCAGCGUACCGGCUCCACACUGACGCUGAGGCACGAAAGCGUGGGUAUCGAACAGG